UUCAUUCAUUGUGGUACAAGAAAUAUAGGUGAAGCGAAACAUUCUAUUUUUUGUGUACAAGUUAUUUUGAUUAUUUUUCUUCAAAAAUUUAUACUACAAUGCUUUUCAUAAUUUACUUGUAGAAAUUUUCUUUGUGUAUGGAUAUUUCUGCUCUCUAGAAAGGUAGGUUCGAAUGAUACCGCAAGCAACACGGUUGAUAAUUUUCCAAUCUUCUUCUCCAAUAACAUCUGGUUACCUUUUUUCAAUGGCAAGAUCUAGCCCUUGUUGAAAAAGGACAUAUAGAACCUAGCCUUGCUACAUCCCAAAGUGUCAUGACCCGUCAAAUAUUUCUACCGCAUAUUUUACAUUUGACAUAAUUCUUGUCAUAAGCAAAGAUACCAACAAUGACGUAUUAUUAAUACUUGAUGUAGA
rnacentral:lncRNA from 1 species